GACGUAGGGCGCGAGCGUUUGUCCGGAUUUAUUGGGCGUAAAGAGCUCGUAGGCGGCUUGUUGCGUCGACCGUGAAAACCCGCGGCUCAACUGCGGGCUUGCGGUUGAUACGGGCAGGCUGGAGUUCGGUAGGGGGAGACUGGAAUUCCUGGUGUAGCGGUGAAAUGCGCAGAUAUCAGGAGGAACACCGGUGGCGAAGGCGGUUCUCUGGGCAUGACCUGACGUGAGGAGCGAAAAGUGUGGGGGAGCGAACAGG
rnacentral:rRNA from 1 species